CACCAAGAUGUGCACCAUCCGCAUGAGCUUUGUAAAGGGCUGGGGCGCAGAGUAUCACAGACAAGAUGUGACGAGCACCCCUUGCUGGAUAGAAGUGCAUCUUCACGGUCCCCUCCAAUGGCUGGAUAAAGUCCUAACACAAAUGGGUUCUCCUCUGAACCCCAUCUCUUCUGUCUCAUAAUGAAGGGCCCUGCUGGGCUGGGAGAGUGUUUUUUUGUUUUUUUUGGUUUUUCUUUUCUUUCUUUUUUCUUCACUUUUGAAAGAAAAGGAGAUAUUAAGGG